rnacentral:rRNA from 1 species
GACGAACGCUGGCGGCGUGCUUAACACAUGCAAGUCGAACGGAAAGGCCCUGCUUUUGUGGGGUGCUCGAGUGGCGAACGGGUGAGUAACACGUGAGUAACCUGCCCUUGACUUUGGGAUAACUUCAGGAAACUGGGGCUAAUACCGGAUAGGAGCUCCUGCUGCAUGGUGGGGGUUGGAAAUUUUCGGCGGUUGGGGAUGGACUCGCGGCUUAUCAGCUUGUUGGUGGGGUAGUGGCUUACCAAGGCUUUGACGGGUAGCCGGCCUGAGAGGGUGACCGGCCACAUUGGGACUGAGAUACGGCCCAGACUCCUACGGGAGGCAGCAGUGGGGAAUAUUGCCCAAUGGGCGGAAGCCUGAUGCAGCAACGCCGCGUGCGGGAUGACGGCCUUCGGGUUGUAAACCGCUUUCGCCUGUGACGAAGCGUGAGUGACGGUAAUGGGUAAAGAAGCACCGGCUAACUACGUG